rnacentral:rRNA from 1 species
GACGAACGCUGGCGGCGUGCUUAACACAUGCAAGUCGAACGAAGUGGCGAACGGGUGAGUAACGCGUAAUCAACCUGCCCUUCAGAGGGGGACAACAGUUGGAAACGACUGCUAAUACCGCAUACUGAAGGAGGGGAUUGCGUCUGAUUAGCUAGUUGGAAGGGUAACGGCCCACCAAGGCGAUGAUCAGUAGCCUGGCUGAGAGGAAGAACGGCCACAAUGGGACUGGGACACGGCCCAAGCUCCUACGGGGGGCAGCAGGGGGGAAUCUUCCGCAAUUGACGAAAGUCUGACGGAGCAACGGCGCGUGGGGGAUGAAGGGCUUCGGGUUGUAAAGGUCUGUUAAGCGGGACGCGGUACCGGAAUAGAAAGCCACGGCUAACUACGUGCCAGCAGCCGCGGUAAUAC